CUUGAUCGAGCCGAGCCACAGCGGCUGUCGUGCGCCGCCGCGGUCCUGUCCGUACGUCGCCAGUACGGCCUGGGCCUC
rnacentral:antisense_RNA from 1 species